rnacentral:rRNA from 1 species
AUACGGAGGAUCCGAGCGUUAUCCGGAUUUAUUGGGUUUAAAGGGUGCGCAGGCGGCCAUUUAAGUCAGCGGUUAAAUCGUGGGGCUCAACCCCAUUCUGCCGUUGAUACUGGGUGGCUUGAUUGCGGUCGAGGUUGGCGGAAUUCGUUGUGUAGCGGUGAAAUGCAUAGAUAUGACGAAGAACACCGAUUGCGUAGGCAGCUGACCAGACCGCAAAUGACGCUCAUGCACGAAAGUGCGGGGAUCGAACAGGAUUAGAUACCCUGGUAGUCCGCACAGUAAACGAUGAAUACUCGCUGUUUGCGAUAUACAGUAAGCGGCCAAGCGAAAGCAUUAAGUAUUCCACCUGGGGAGUACGCCGGCAACGGUGAAACUCAAAUGAAUUGACGGGG